rnacentral:rRNA from 1 species
CACGUAGGGGGCGAGCGUUGUCCGGAAUUACUGGGCGUAAAGGGCGCGUAGGCGGCCUAAUAAGUCAGAUGUGAAAACCCUGGGCUUAACCCUGGGAUUGCAUUUGAAACUGUUGGGCUUGAGGGCAGGAGAGGAAAGCGGAAUUCCCAGUGUAGCGGUGAAAUGCGUAGAUAUUGGGAGGAACACCAGUGGCGAAGGCGGCUUUCUGGACUGAACCUGACGCUGAGGCGCGAAAGCCAGGGUAGCGAACGGG